AUGCUCACGCAGGACGGCCACCCGGUGGCAUACUUCAGCAAGGCCCUGGGCGUCCACAACCAGAAGCUAUCCACCUAUGAGAAAGAAUUCCUCACUGUGAUGAUGGCUGUCGACAAGUGGUGCCAGUACUUCCAACGCGGGCCGUUCGACAUCGUCACGGACCACACAUCCCUUUGCAAUUUGGGCGAGCAACACUUGGAUACAGAGCUGCAACAGAAGGCCAUGGUGAAGCUGGUGGGACUCCAGUUCUGUUUCAAGUACAAACGCGGCUUGGACAACGGGGCGGCGGAUGCACUAUCUAGGGUGGGCAAGCAGUUCGACCUCGCCGCGCUCUCGGCGUGCCAACCGGCCUGGGUGCAAGAGGUGGUCAAUUCCUACGCCACUGACGUCGACACCCAGGAACGGCUACAUCAACUUGCCAUCCACAGCCCCGACAAGGACGGUUAUGAGUUCCACCACGGUGUCAUCCGGCGCCAAGGCAGCUUCUGGAUUGGGGAAAACACGGCGCUUCACAGCGCCAUGGGCGGCCACUCCGGCUCGACCGCCACCUACCAGUGGGUGCGCAAGCACUUCGACUGGCGGGGGCUCAAGCAUGACGUCGACGACUUCAUGCACCAGUGCUCGAUGUGCCAGCAGGCCAAGAACGAGCAUGUCAAACCAGCCGGCCUCCCGGCGCCGCUCCGAAUUCUGGCGGCGCCUUGGGAAGAUUUGACCAUGGAUUUUGUCGAGGGCCUCCUGCGGUCAGAAGGCUUUGACACAAUCAUGAUCGUUGUCGAUCGCUUCACCAAGUUCUCACACUUCAUCCCCCUGUGCCACCCCUUCCAUGCUACACAAGUGGCACGCCUUCUGGGAUAA
rnacentral:rRNA from 1 species